rnacentral:rRNA from 1 species
UGUGAGCUCGAUGAGUAGGGCGGGACACGUGGUAUCCUGUCUGAAUAUGGGGGGACCAUCCUCCAAGGCUAAAUACUCCUGACUGACCGAUAGUGAACCAGUACCGUGAGGGAAAGGCGAAAAGAACCCCGGCGAGGGGAGUGAAAAAGAACCUGAAACCGUGUACGUACAAGCAGUGGGAGCACCCUUUGGGGUGUGACUGCGUACCUUUUGUAUAAUGGGUCAGCGACUUAUAUUCUGUAGCAAGGUUAACCGUAUAGGGGAGCCGCAGGGAAACCGAGUCUUAACCGGGCGUUAAGUUGCAGGGUAUAGACCCGAAACCCGGUGAUCUAGCCAUGGGCAGGUUGAAGGUUGGGUAACACUAACUGGAGGACCGAACCGACUAAUGUUGAAAAAUUAGCGGAUGACCUGUGGCUGGGGGUGAAAGGCCAAUCAAACCGGGAGAUAGCUGGUUCUCCCCGAAAGCUAUUUAGGUAGCGCCUCGUGAAUUCAUCUCCGGGGGUAGAGCACUGUUUCGGCUAGGGGGCCAUCCCGGCUUACCAACCCGAUGCAAACUGCGAAUACCGGAGAAUGUUAUCACGGGAGACACACGGCGGGUGCUAACGUCCGUCGUGAAGAGGGAAACAACCCAGACCGCCAGCUAAGGUCCCAAAGUCAUGGUUAAGUGGGAAACGAUGUGGGAAGGCCCAGACAGCCAGGAUGUUGGCUUAGAAGCAGCCAUCAUUUAAAGAAAGCGUAAUAGCUCACUGGUCGAGUCGGCCUGCGCGGAAGAUGUAACGGGGCUAAACCAUGCACCGAAGCUGCGGCAGCGACACUCAGGUGUUGUUGGGUAGGGGAGCGUUCUGUAAGCCUGUGAAGGUGGCCUGUGAGGGUUGCUGGAGGUAUCAGAAGUGCGAAUGCUGACAUAAGUAACGAUAAAGCGGGUGAAAAGCCCGCUCGCCGGAAGACCAAGGGUUCCUGUCCAACGUUAAUCGGGGCAGGGUGAGUCGACCCCUAAGGCGAGGCCGAAAGGCGUAGUCGAUGGGAAACGGGUUAAUAUUCCCGUACUUGGUGUUACUGCGAAGGGGGGACGGAGAAGGCUAUGUUGGCCGGGCGACGGUUGUCCCGGUUUAAGCGUGUAGGCUGGUUUUCCAGGCAAAUCCGGAAAAUCAAGGCUGAGGCGUGACGACGAGGCACUACGGUGCUGAAGCAACAAAUGCCCUGCUUCCAGGAAAAGCCUCUAAGCAUCAGGUAACAUCAAAUCGUACCCCAAACCGACACAGGUGGUCAGGUAGAGAAUACCAAGGCGCUUGAGAGAACUCGGGUGAAGGAACUAGGCAAAAUGGUGCCGUAACU